GGACCCGCACAAGUAGUGGAGCAUGUGGUUUAAUUCGAAGAUACGCGCAGAACCUUACCAACACUUGACAUGUUCGUCGCGACUCUGAGAGAUCAGAGUUUUCGGUUCGGCCGGACGAAACACAGGUGCUGCAUGGCUGUCGUCAGCUCGUGUCGUGAGAUGUUGGGUUAAGUCCCGCAACGAGCGCAACCCUCACUUUUAGUUGCCAUCAUUUAGUUGGGCACUCUGAAAGAACUGCCAGUGAUAAGCUGGAGGAAGGUGGGGAUGACGUCAAGUCCUCAUGGCCCUUACGUGUUGGGCUACACACGUGCUACAAUGGUAUCUACAACAGGAAGCAAGACUGCGAAGUUAAGCAAAUCUCUUAAAGCGUCUCUCAGUCCGGAUCGGAGUCUGCAACUCGACUCCGUGAAGUCGGAAUUGCUAGUAAUCGC
rnacentral:rRNA from 1 species